GUCUGUGGCCAUACCACCCUGAACAAGCCCAAUCUUGUUGAUUCUCGGAAGCUAAAUAGGGUUGGGCCUGGUUAUUACUUGGAUGGGAAACCACCUAGGAAGACCAGGUGCUAUAGGCA
rnacentral:rRNA from 1 species